UAGAGUUUGAUUAUGGCUCAGGACGAACGCUGGCGGCGUGCCUAAUACAUGCAAGUCGAGCGAGCUUGCCUAGAUGAUUUUAGUGCUUGCACUAAAUGAAACUAGAUACAAGCGAGCGGCGGACGGGUGAGUAACACGUGGGUAACCUGCCCAAGAGACUGGGAUAACACCUGGAAACAGAUGCUAAUACCGGAUAACAACACUAGACGCAUGUCUAGAGUUUGAAAGAUGGUUCUGCUAUCACUCUUGGAUGGACCUGCGGUGCAUUAGCUAGUUGGUAAGGUAACGGCUUACCAAGGCAAUGAUGCAUAGCCGAGUUGAGAGACUGAUCGGCCACAUUGGGACUGAGACACGGCCCAAACUCCUACGGGAGGCAGCAGUAGGGAAUCUUCCACAAUGGACGAAAGUCUGAUAGAGCAACGCCGCGUGAGUGAAGAAGGGUUUCGGCUCGUAAAGCUCUGUUGGUAGUGAAGAAAGAUAGAGGUAGUAACUGGCCUUUAUUUGACGGUAAUUACUUAGAAAGUCACGGCUAACUACGUGCCAGCAGCCGCGGUAAUACGUAGGUGGCAAGCGUUGUCCGGAUUUAUUGGGCGUAAAGCGAGUGCAGGCGGUUCAAUAAGUCUGAUGUGAAAGCCUUCGGCUCAACCGGAGAAUUGCAUCAGAAACUGUUGAACUUGAGUGCAGAAGAGGAGAGUGGAACUCCAUGUGUAGCGGUGGAAUGCGUAGAUAUAUGGAAGAACACCAGUGGCG
rnacentral:rRNA from 1 species